rnacentral:rRNA from 1 species
AGAGUUUGAUCAUGGCUCAGGAUGAACGCUGGCGGCGUGCCUAACACAUGCAAGUCGAGCGAUCUUCUUCGGAAGAGAGCGGCGGACGGGUGAGUAACGCGUGGGUAACCUGCCCUGUACACACGGAUAACAUACCGAAAGGUAUGCUAAUACGGGAUAACAUAUGAAAGUCGCAUGGCUUUUAUAUCAAAGCUCUGGCGGUACAGGAUGGACCCGCGUCUGAUUAGUUAGUUGGUGAGGUAAUGGCUCACCAAGGCAACGAUCAGUAGCCGACCUGAGAGGGUGAUCGGCCACACUGGAACUGAGACACGGUCCAGACUCCUACGGGAGGCAGCAGUGGGGAAUAUUGCACAAUGGGCGAAAGCCUGAUGCAGCAACGCCGCGUGAGCGAUGAAGGCCUUCGGGUCGUAAAGCUCUGUCCUCAAGGAAGAUAAUGACGGUACUUGAGGAGGAAGCCCCGGCUAACUACGUGCCAGCAGCCGCGGUAAUACGUAGGGGGCUAGCGUUAUCCGGAAUUACUGGGCGUAAAGGGUGCGUAGGUGGUUUUUUAAGUCAGAAGUGAAAGGCUACGGCUCAACCGUAGUAAGCUUUUGAAACUAAAGAACUUGAGUGCAGGAGAGGAGAGUAGAAUUCCUAGUGUAGCGGUGAAAUGCGUAGAUAUUAGGAGGAAUACCAGUAGCGAAGGCGGCUCUCUGGACUGUAACUGACACUGAGGCACGAAAGCGUGGGGAGCAAACAGGAUUAGAUACCCUAGUAGUCC